rnacentral:rRNA from 1 species
AUUGAACGCUGGCGGCAUGCCUUACACAUGCAAGUCGAACGGUAACAGGUUAAGCUGACGAGUGGCGAACGGGUGAGUAAUAUAUCGGAACGUGCCCAGUCGUGGGGGAUAACUGCUCGAAAGAGCAGCUAAUACCGCAUACGACCUGAGGGUGAAAGCGGGGGAUCGCAAGACCUCGCGCGAUUGGAGCGGCCGAUAUCAGAUUGGGUAGUUGGUGGGGUAAGGGCCCACCAAGCCAACGAUCUGUAGCUGGUCUGAGAGGACGACCAGCCACACUGGGACUGAGACACGGCCCAGACUCCUACGGGAGGCAGCAGUGGGGAAUUUUGGACAAUGGGCGCAAGCCUGAUCCAGCCAUGCCGCGUGCGGGAAGAAGGCCUUCGGGUUGUAGACCGCUUUUGUCAGGGAAGAAAAGGUUCUGGUUAAUACCUGGGACUCAUGACGGUACCUGAAGAAUAAGCACCGGCUAACUACGUGCCAGCCGCCGCCGUAA